GAUGAACGCUGGCGGCGUGCCUAAUACAUGCAAGUCGAGCGAGCAGACGAGGAGCUUGCUCCUCUGACGUUAGCGGCGGACGGGUGAGUAACACGUGGAUAACCUACCUAUAAGACUGGGAUAACUUCGGGAAACCGGAGCUAAUACCGGAUAAUAUAUUGAACCGCAUGGUUCAAUAGUGAAAGACGGUUUUGCUGUCACUUAUAGAUGGAUCCGCGCCGCAUUAGCUAGUUGGUAAGGUAACGGCUUACCAAGGCAACGAUGCGUAGCCGACCUGAGAGGGUGAUCGGCCACACUGGGACUGAGACACGGUCCAGACUCCUACGGGAGGCAGCAGUAGGGAAUCUUCCGCAAUGGGCGAAAGCCUGACGGAGCAACGCCGCGUGAGUGAUGAAGGUCUUCGGAUCGUAAAACUCUGUUAUUAGGGAAGAACAAAUGUGUAAGUAACUAUGCACGUCUUGACGGUACCUAAUCAGAAAGCCACGGCUAACUACGUG
rnacentral:rRNA from 1 species